UUAACUUGUUUUUUUGUUUUAACUCGGACGUGCCACUGGGAUACAACAAGAGUUUGUUUUGCGCUCCUCCGGCGGGAGCCCGGCUCAGGCCGGGCCCCGGGGCCCCUCCCAGGGGCCUCCCGCCGAAGCAACUGACAAUGGUAGGUUCACAAAGGGUUGAAGAGUACGGUAAUACUCCUUUCGUAAUGAUCCCUCCGCUGGUUCACCAACGGAGA
rnacentral:misc_RNA from 1 species